AGCGAACGCUGGCGGCAGGCCUAACACAUGCAAGUCGAACGAACCUUUCGGGGUUAGUGGCGGACGGGUGAGUAACACGUGGGAACGUGCCUUUAGGUUCGGGAUAACUCAGGGAAACUUGUGCUAAUACCGAAUGUGCCCUUCGGGGGAAAGAUUUAUCGCCUUUAGAGCGGCCCGCGUCUGAUUAGCUAGUUGGUUGAGGUAAUGGCUCACCAACGCGACGAUCAGUAGCUGGUCUGAGAGGAUGAUCAGCCACAUUGGGACUGAGACACGGCCCAAACUCCUACGGGAGGCAGCAGUGGGGAAUCUUGCGCAAUGGGCGAAAGCCUGACGCAGCCAUGCCGCGUGAAUGAUGAAGGUCUUAGGAUUGUAAAAUUCUUUCACCGGGGACGAUAAUGACGGUACCCGGAGAAGAAGCCCCGGCUAACUUCGUG
rnacentral:rRNA from 1 species